UAUGUAGGGGGCAAGCGUUGUCCGGAAUCAUUGGGCGUAAAGCGCGUGUAGGCGGCUCGAUAAGUCCGCUCUGAAAGCCCGGGGCUCAACCCCGGGAGGCGGGCGGAAACUGUCGGGCUAGAGUCCGGAAGAGGCGAGUGGAAUUCCCGGUGUAGCGGUGAAAUGCGCAGAUAUCGGGGAGGAACACCAAUGGCGAAGGCAGCUCGCUGGGACGUGACUGACGCUGAUGUGCGAAAGCGUGGGGAGCAAACAGG
rnacentral:rRNA from 1 species